UAGCCUGGGGUCUCCGCACCAGCCCCUUCUCUCUUUGACGGCGCCGCCUCCUCUCCUCUCUCUCGAUUCCCUUCGCGCCGCCGCACCUGCUCCGGGCUCCUCCUCUUCCGGGCUUCCCCGUGCCGUCGGCCUCCCUCGUCUGCGUCUUUCCUCGUCGGUCGUUGCUCCGAGUCGCGGACCUCCUCGCUGCGGUUGCAGUGGCCGAACAAGAUGAAGAGGAGCUGCAGAGUCGGGUCCAUGCAGCGGCCUCCUCCCCACGGAGGUCAGAAGAGGAAGAUGUGCUCUUCCAUGGUUUCAAGAGGAGGAGACGCUUCUCCUACCAGAUCAGUGGCCAUCACGUCUCCAUCGACGUCGCCGAGCUCCAUGGCUUCCUCGUCUCCUUCUCAGGCGGGCGAUGGUGCACGAUAUGGCCAGGUGUGACCUGCGCAAGCAGCACCACUGAUGAGGCACAUGUUGUGGGCUAGCAGCGAUUGGAGGGGACGCCGUUGCAGAUCCUCAUUGUUUCUCUGGGAGAGGAGCACGUCGACGAUCUAUUUUUUCCCCAUAGAUUCGCGAUGGAGGUGCUCGAGGAGGAGCUUCUUCUCUAGACGCCAUGCAAAUCGUCCAGGAGAGGAACACGCCGCUGAAGAACUCGGCAUGGAGGAUCUGAAACCUCACAAGGAAGAAGGAGGUGAACCAUUGUUUAACACGGAUAUGCACAGGCGUGUGGAUGUGCACUGCCCCUGAAUGUGAAGAGCUAUUCAAGAUGUUGCAUUUUUGGUGGAGUUCAAUGCAUCGGCUAGAGGAGGAUGCCGCGACAGGUUAAACUCCUCUGCCGUUGCAGAGCAGUCCACUGUGCCGUCACCGUCAUCCUUGCCUUCGAGCCAUCUGUGACGCUGUCGCCAUCGCUUAGCCCUUCGCCGCGGGGGACACAUAGAUGGGUGAGGAUGCCAGUAGGAAGCAGCAGCUCGCCGUUUCCUUGGUCCCCGCCAACGCCAAGCGAGAAGAGAAGCUUAUUUGGUUUGCGGUGAUUGUAAUUGACACGCAGUAGCAAGUCGGGCAUUUGAAAGGUAUCAACAGUGGACAAGAUGAUGACUCCAAUCGAUUUGGUGUGGAAGCAUGACAAAUUGAUAAAUGUUGGAAAAUAUCAGAUCACAAAGCUAGAGGCCCUUGUCCAGAUGGAGGACUUGGCUUCUUCAGUGAGGACAAAUCAAUACUACACUUCGAUUCAAUAGAGUGCGAGCUUCAUUAGGGUUUAAGUGCGUUGCUGCUGGUCGCCUCUUGUGAUUGUGUACAGCUUGCUUCUGACAUAGCCAAGAUUAAAGGAGAGGGGGGGUCAUUGCUGAUGGCUUGGAACUUUUUGGUGCAUCAUGCUAUGCGACUAAGGUCACGCUGACAGACACUUGGUGAGAUGUUUGAAGCUGCUCUUAGUAUCAUGACCUAGCUUGGAGACUGUGCCAAGGCUGAAGUUUUCUUUCUUGGGCAACUAAGGCAGAAGAACCUGGUGUAAUUGGCUGGGUAGUGCUACGAGCACGAACACCGGAUGUUGGUGUACAAAUUCAUGAGCGUUGGGAGCCUUGAGACGCACCUCUUCAAAACUUCUUGGUACUUGCAAGUUAGUACAACUCUUGGUCAAUGUGGAGGAAACUGACCUGAAACAUCCUAUUUCCUUGACGUAUAAAUGGCUCCCUCCUGCGGAUGAUAAGGAUGAAGAUCGCCGUCAGCCCAAGGGCCUUAACUUUCUCCAUGACGCCAACCUGCCGGUGAUCUACAAGCAGGCCUUCAACAUCUUGCUCGACUAGUGCAAGCUGCAGGGUCAGUCUGAGCCUUCACGAGCUCGACAUCGGGGCCAGCACUCUACAUACUUAUCGACGCCGUGUAGUACCAGGAGGAGCAGAUGUGAAAAGCGGUGCAAAGUGUGCCUUAUGAUGCUUGGAACUGUGCAUCUACUUUUCGCCAGUGCAUGGUUCUUUUGAACCACCUCUCUUUGUAGUCAGUCAUUUAAGCUGCAAGAAUGCUGCAUCUCUGUUCAUAUAAGCUUAUCCAUAUAUAUGAUGCCCCUGUCUUUGCACACCUGAUGUGUUUUAUGAAUGUGCACUGCGCCAACAAUGCAUUUUUACUGUUGUAACUUAUUUUUCCCAUCAAUAAGAUGGUACUGUCACUUGGGUUGGAUUGCUCUGCUUUCUAGAAUUUAGAACGUUAUAUAAGUUGAACAACAGUUGCAUGAAAAGGACAUAGCAUAGUGACGCCUCAGGAGCAACAGCAAGAUUGGUGCGCCCAGUCAGCAGAGGAGGCGCGCCCCUGCCACUAGUAUGCAAUCAAAAGUGGUGGCAUCCCUGAGCUCAGAUCCUUGGUCAACGAUGCAGGGAGCACAUCGUGUCAUAAUAAUGAAGAAAAGAGGCCCGCGCCCACCGAAAGGAACUCACGCGCGGAGGUAGUAGUACGAAGCAGUACGCGUCCGAUCGCGUCUCCGUCUGUACCCCAACGCCAACCCAA